UGAACGCCCACUACCACCUCCGCCCGGCCGCGAUGGCAGGGGCAUCAGCAUGAAGGGUCAUGGGGCCGCGGGCCGCCGGGACAUGCCAGGGAAGGGGCGGCCCAGGCCUCUAGGCCCUAGACCUCCGCGGAGGACGCAGCCACAGAGCCCCGGCUCCGACCAGCCACGUCGCGGCCGGUGACGAACUGCACAGAAAACUAGCGAAAAGGGCCCUUUCCGUCGAACUCGAGAAAAUUAUCUGAGUGCAGCCGACCUGUUGCCUCACUUUGGCCGAAAGGGGGAGCAGAAGGAAGAAAUUCUUCAAUAGGAACAUGAAUGACUGACCCUGACCCAAAAGGCUGCCCCUCCUGCUAGGAUCACCCAGGAGCAGCUGCUCUGGAUGGGCCUGCAGCGGUCCUGGCUGUGCUGCUGACUGGUGCACCAGGAGUGGCACUGAGGGGAGCCGGGAGAGGCCCUGGCCCUCACCCCUCAUCCCAGAUCCACAUCUGCUCCCUCACUGAUUGCUCGGGGUCCUGGUCCUCAGUUCCUGGGACUAAGAACCACAGCAGCCUGGUUGCCUCCGGGACAGAGGGGCAGAGCCUCACACCAUGUGCCCUCCUCAACCACCCAGGUCCCAGCUGAAGAUCUCUGCCUGCCUCACCCCGAGGCCUGAGGCAGCACCCAGGCUACCACAUGUCCCCUGCAAAUUCCCAUAGACGGAAGGGUCCUGAUGGCUUCCUCCUUUGUGCCAAGUUGCCUGGAAACCCCUGGUCCUGGUGGCUCCUCCUCCUCCCCAACUGUGUCCCUCCAGGACCACUUCCGGGAGCCUGCCAGCCUUUGGACUGCAUCCCUGGAGCUCUGGGGACAGCCUCUGAGAGACUGUGACAUGGGGCUGCAGGGGAGGAGAGGAGCGGAGGACCAGGGGCCUCCUUGGGGCUGAUGCACAAAUGUGUGCGCUUUUCAAGUUCAUAUCUCAUCCUCUGGGUGACUGGAUCCCCAGUUGUAGCCUCUUCCUGGGCCAUUUUGAGAGGGCCUGCAGAGGGCACUAGGGAGGGUCUUUACUUAAUAUGUGUGUGCCAGUGUGUGAAUGUGUGUGUGAGUGCGCAUGUUGAGUGCAUGUGUGAGUGUGAGGAUGUGUGUGCAGGUUUGCAUGCACAUGCAUGAGGGCUUGAGUGUGUGAGUGUGGGGAUGUGUGUGUGGGUGUGUGAGUGUGGAUCAGUGUGUGGAUAUGAGUGCAAAUGCAUGAGUGCACGGAUGUCUGUGUGUGAAUGUGCAGGUGUGAGAGUGUGUGUGUGGGUGUGAAUACACAUGUCAGUGUGAAUGCAUGUGUGUGAGUGCACUAGUGUGUGAGUGCUUAUGCACACAGGAGUGGCUGUGCAUUGCAGAAGGCGCUGAGCUGUUUAGUGGGUGUGCUCUGGGGGACGGGGCAUCCUGUCCUCCCCAGGCUCCCAGCUCUGUUGGAGCUGCCUGGGCCCUGGGAGGCCGCUUCCCAAAGUGGAGAAAGUAUGUUGGAGAUUCAGGGGCCCCAGGCUCAGAGACCCAUCAUCAUCUGCAGAGAAUCCCCUCUCCCCAUGGGGCUCUGGCUGGGGCUGUCUGCCCUGAAAGGUAUUGGCCGUGGGAGGGGCAUGGACACGUCCUCAGCAUGUGUUCCUGCCACUGCUUUUCUUACCAUUUUGAUCUUGAGUAGUUUGCUGCUUCUGCUUUCCUGCUUCUUCCUCAUCUCCUCACUGGGCCUCUGCUGCUCUCUAUGCACUUUAUUUAUUUGCAGUCUCUUUUUCAGGUAGUGGAGGUUCUACACCAUCACUGACUUGAAUAAGACAGCUUUCCCUUUUAUGUGUGUGAUGAACUCUGCACCAGUCAGCGCAGUCUGGUCAGAGAAGUGUUCUUGUUGCCAGUGUUGUCAAAUCUUGUGUCUAUCUAAGUUAAUAAAAAAACUAUUUGAGUUCAAUGAAAAAAAAACAGAGGCCUCUUGUUUCUGGUGUGGUGCCCCCUUGGAGGAGAGGGGCUGUUGGACCCCACUCUGGUGGCCAGAAGCUGGGGGAGGGGAGCAUCCUGAGGGCUAUAAUUGGGUGGGGUCAUGGCAGGAAACCAAUGAAUGUUAUACUUCAUAUUAAUAGAACAAAGGGAUAAUACAUAAUCAUUCCAAAAGUUUUAAAAAAUGGAUUUGGUGAAAUUCGAUACCCAUUCAUGAUUUUAAAAUCUUUUAACAACAUUGGAAUUGUUAGGAACUCAUUCUCGUGGCAAAUAGUCUAUAAAAAACCUCAGUGUACAUAAUAUUUAAUGGUAAAAGAAUGUUCCUAAUAUUGGGAACAAUUCAUGGUGUCUACUAUUGCCAUUUCUAUUCAUCAUUGUACUGGAAGCUUGAGCAAAUGGAAUAAGCCCCCUACCCUGACAAAAUAAAUCCAUCUUGAUUGGAUAGGAAGAAAUAAAGCUUUAUUUAUUCACAGAUCAUCCUGUACGGAGAAAAUAUCAAGUAAAGCACAGACAAAAAAGCUACUAGACCCAUAAACAAAUUUA